UACGGGGGGAGCAAGCGUUGUUCGGAUUUACUGGGCGUAAAGGGCGCGUAGGCGGCGCAACAAGUCACUUGUGAAUCUCCGGGCUUAACCCGGAGCGGUCAAGUGAUACUGUCGUGCUAGAGUGCGGAAGGGGCUACUGGAAUUCUCGGUGUAGCGGUGAAAUGCGUAGAUAGUCGAGAGGGAACACCCUGCGGCGAAGGCGGGUAGCUGGGCCGACACUGACGUGAUGCGCGAAAGCCCAGGGGAGCGAACGGG
rnacentral:rRNA from 1 species